UCUCAAGAAUGAGCAAAGAAAGUGGUUUCUUGAAAUGGCAUCUACUCUUUGUGAAAAUGCUGUGAA
rnacentral:pre_miRNA from 1 species